rnacentral:rRNA from 1 species
ACUCAAAUGAAUAGACGGGGACCCGCACAAGCGGUGGAUGAUGUGGUUUAAUUCGAUGCAACGCGAAAAACCUUACCUACCCUUGACAUGUCAAGAAUUUUGCAGAGAUGUGAAAGUGCUCGAAAGAGAACUUGAACACAGGUGCUGCAUGGCCGUCGUCAGCUCGUGUCGUGAGAUGUUGGGUUAAGUCCCGCAACGAGCGCAACCCUUGUCAUUAGUUGCUACCGCAAGGAGCACUCUAAUGAGACUGCCGGUGACAAACCGGAGGAAGGUGGGGAUGACGUCAGGUCCUCAUGGCCCUUAUGGGUAGGGCUACACACGUCAUACAAUGGCCGGUACAGAGGGCUGCCAACCCGCGAGGGGGAGCCAAUCCCAGAAAACCGGUCGUAGUCCGGAUCGUAGUCUGCAACUCGACUGCGUGAAGUCGGAAUCGCUAGUAAUCGCGGAUCAGCUUGCCGCGGUGAAUACGUUCCCGGGUCUUGUACACACCGCCCGU